CCUACGGGAGGCAGCAGUGAGGAAUAUUGGUCAAUGGACGAGAGUCUGAACCAGCCAAGUAGCGUGAAGGAUGACUGCCCUAUGGGUUGUAAACUUCUUUUAUAUGGGAAUAAAACAGGGUAUGCAUACCCUCUUGUAUGUACCAUAUGAAUAAGGAUCGGCUAACUCCGUGCCAGCAGCCGCGGUAAUACGGAGGAUCCGAGCGUUAUCCGGAUUUAUUGGGUUUAAAGGGUGCGUAGGUGGAGUGUUAAGUCAGUUGUGAAAGUGUGGGGCUCAACCGUAAAAUUGCAGUUGAAACUGGCAGUCUUGAGUGCAGUAGAGGUAGGCGGAAUGCGUGGUGUAGCGGUGAAAUGCUUAGAUAUCACGAAGAACUCCGAUUGCGAAGGCAGCUUACUGGACUGCAACUGACACUGAUGCACGAAAGUGUGGGUAUCGAACAGGAUUAGAUACCCUUGUAGUC
rnacentral:rRNA from 1 species